rnacentral:rRNA from 1 species
GACAGAGGGUGCUAGCGUUGUUCGGAUUCAUUGGGCGUAAAGGGUGCGUAGGCGGCGCGGUAAGUCGGGUGUGAAAUCUCGGAGCUUAACUCCGAAACUGCAUUCGAUACUGCCGUGCUUGAGGACUGGAGAGGAGACUGGAAUUUACGGUGUAGCGGUGAAAUGCGUAGAUAUCGUAAGGAAGACCAGUGGCGAAGGCGGGUCUCUGGACAGUUCCUGACGCUGAGGCACGAAGGUCAGGGGAGCAAACGGG